rnacentral:rRNA from 1 species
CCCUGCCAUUUGUACACACCGCCCGUCGCUACUACCGAUUGAAUGGCUUAGUGAGGCCUUCGGAUUGGCUUCUGGGAGCCGGCAACGGCACCUAGUCGCUGAGAAGUUGUACGAACUUGGUCAUUUAGAGGAAG